rnacentral:lncRNA from 1 species
GCAAAAGAGACCGAUAGAAUAAGUACUGGGCUUACAAAAGAAUAAGUCCCGGGGACGAGUUGCUCGAUUAAAGGCGGUGCUCCAGCAUGGACGCAGUCAAUGACUGAAACAAGUAAAAAGAGAAAAAAGAGAGUACCGAUAAUGGUUAUAUCUACCUACCAAAAUCUACCCGUAAAUGAUUGUUGGUUUUUUAAAAAAUUAAUAACUAUUUACCCUUAUAUUAUAUACUAGCAGUAUCGCGCGGUGUUGCUCGGGUUUGUAAGGGAAAUAACUAUACAGCAUUUUUAGAGAGUUAUAGCCAAAAAAUAGCCAAAAGAUGCAUUAAAAAUGGAAAAAAUAUGAUGUUAAUUUUUUUUUUAAAUCGUUGACUCAUCGUAGACAUUUUUAGAGAGUUACUCCCCUUUAAAAAAAUAUGCAUGAAAAUGGAAAAAAUGAUGGAAAAUUAUUUUUAAAAUCCUAUACUCAUCGUAGACGCGCGCUAAUACGCUGAAGGGUUUGAUAUGAAUCACGACUAUAAGAUACCCGGUUUUGGUUAAACUGCACCGCAAAAUGUGGGAGUAGUUAGGAAUCUAAAUCGAAGGGGACAGACACUCACACAACUACAGUUUUAUAUAUUAUAUAUAUAUGUGUGUGUGUGUAUAGUCAAUAGAAAUUAACAAAAAAUUCAAAUAAGAGAAUAAUAAACGAAAAGAGAACAAAAACGUCGAACGUGAGGAGGUGCACAAAACGUGCAUUUGCUUGGAGCUUGGUGAGAAGAUUCUCUAUGGUCUUACCACUAAGAAAGCAAUGUUUUCGAGAGGAUUUAGUAAACUUCAGAACGUGAUCGAGCGAUAUAAAUGAAAUGAUAAAAAAUAUAGAUUAAUCAAAAACCAGGUUUCCUUGUUAUCCCUUGCGUAAUCAUCCCCGUGCUGGUAUGAGUUGGAAUGGAAAGAACUGAACAGCGGUAGAGAUGUAAACACAUUUUUUUUCAUUUUUCUCUCUUCCUUCUUUCUUUCCUUCUCUUUUCCAUUGACACCCUUUUCAAAUACACAGGCACCCACACACACACGCACACAUACAAGCACACACACACACACACACACACACACACACACACACACACAUUCUCAAUGGACAAUGAUAAAAAGAUAUCCAGACAAUUUUUUGAAAAAUAACUUUUGUCAAAGCAAAAAAAAAACACUUUGGAGUAGCCACCUGGUUUUGCCAUUUUUAAAGGCCAAGAACCACUUUCUAUUGAAAGAAAUGACCAGCUGUAUAGAUGUAAACGCAUUAUUUUCUUCUUUCUCUCUUUCUUCUUUCUUUCCUUCUCUUUUCCAUUGACACUUCUUUCAGAUACAAAGGCACUCACAAACACACACAAAAACACACGCACUCUCUCUCACUUUCUCCCCAUUUCCCACCCUCUUUUACUAUCCUAUAUAUCUCUCCACCCCUACACACUGAAUAAUACUAUAAAAAGAGAGAAACUCUUCAAAAAAUUCAAAUCUGAAGAAUCCACUAGAGUGGAUGCGAGCGCUAAUAUAUGAUUUAUAAAAACAUGUGAUAUAUUAAUAAAAAUCUGUAAAUAUAAAACCAUCCAGAUUUCUGAGUAGCUUAUUUCUUCUAAUAUAUAAUACAUGUACAUCACCUCCAAACCUUCUAUUUAGAAAUAGUAGUUAAACUACUAUUUUACAACCAUAAGAUAUCUCCUAGACAGCAAUAUUCAACAACUCACGCAGGUAAGGAGAACAAAAUAUCGAAUCUACCCGUCUUUGAUUAACUGUAUACGCGUUUCGGAGUUAAAGAUAUGUAAAAAAUAAAAGAAUUAACAUUUUUUUACAUCUCUUUAACUCGGAAACGUGUAUACAGUUAAUCACAACCGGGUGGAUUCGUUAUUUUUUCACUUUACCUGCGUGAGUUAUUGAGUAUUGCGGUCUGGAAGUUUUUCCAAUGGUAGUGAAAUAGUAUUCUAACUGCUAUUUCUAAAUUUCGGUAUGUGGUGAAACCAAUUUUGCUGAACCCUAAUUAUAAUUAUACUCAUAAUUACAGAAGUUUUGUAUAGGUUUACCGAUAAUCGUUCUUUUAACAUACAGAACUACUUGGUAAAAUUAUUACUUGGUAAAAUUAUAACGCGACACUUUCCCAUCCACGAUACGAGACGGAGCGAUGGCUCGAAAUGAGACAAAGUUGAGGGCAGAGAUGUCAAAUUCUCUAAUACACAAGAUGGGCGAUCGAAAGUCUUGAUUGGACCAAAUCAGCUGGCGGAGAAGAGCCAUGCAAAGAACGGGCAAAGAACACAGCAUAAGGAGGGAAAUUUAUGGUGGUGCUCUGGAACGACCGCAGCCACUUGGCUGAAACGAAGAAAUAAAUAAAUAAAUAUAUAUAUAUAUAUAGAACAAGCUUACUUAGAAAUGGAUGCGUGCGUUCUGUCGUAUAAUAACAAAUUAAUAAAUAAAACAUAUGCCUAUAUACAUACAUAUAUGUACGUAUCUACAUCUACAUGUAUAUACACAUGCAUAUA